GCGGGCACAUGUACCAAGGUGGCGACGCGGUCUCCAAAACCGUGUGUGGUGGGUUCAAUUCCCAACUGUCCGUGCCA
rnacentral:tRNA from 1 species